UUAUACUGUAAAAUAUUCUAAUAUCCCAAUGAGUUGAAUGAAUAGCUGAUCAGAUCUGCAAAGAAGUUGCAGAGCUAAAUGUGCACAAAUAAAACAAAAGCAGUUUGAUUUUAAUAAAAACUAUAAAGUGUUUCACACAUGACUACAGUGCUGUAAAUCCUUCUAAAAAUUGUUUAAAAUCUUCUUCCAGUCAGUUUUCGAACUAUAAAUACCUGCAUUAGAGUCAUGCUCUUUCACCGCUCAGCCACACUACAUGCUUAAAUCAAUACUCAGAGGGGCUGUAUACAUCCUAAUUGGAAAACUGAAACUUUCUAAAAGUUGUUAAUUUAUUAUAUAGAUUACUAAUAUAGUGAUACAUUAACCAUAUAACUCAAUUUAUCUGGGAAAUACAAAAAUUUAUAUUGCCUCAGACAGGAAUCAAACCCCAAUCUGUAACAAAUUUUGAGUUAUAGUAGUUUAAGUAUAGGGUGGUUUUUGAGGAAUUUUCAGCUUUUCCAUUAGUGUGUUUUGCGUCUGAUUAAAUGGGUGAUGUCACAGCUAGAGUGUGAAGAGGCGCUUUGUUACGCCAGAAGUUUUCUCUUUAACUCGUCACUACAGCCACAGUUUUCACUCUAUUAACGUAUUUUCUUCACUUUUGUUUGUAGUCAUACUUGUCUUCUUACCAAUGAUGUGCCUGGAUAAGCCAUCAAAAUUAUACUUUAGUCUGUAUCUGCCUCAAAACACAGAGAGUUCCAGAAAUCCUCCCAUUGCCUCCUAUGGAAAAUUCUCAAUACAAUGUACAAGUACAAGUAUAAUACAGAUAUUUUUAAAUUGCGACACAAAAUCCAAUAUUUUAAAGUUUAGGUCUUAAGCAUACAUACACCUCAACAAAAUCCUUUUAAAAUACCAGUCCAAAUCUUUAGCUUUCAUAGCACUAUUUCUACAUUUGAAAGGUUAACUGAGACUAGAUAAUAAGACUAUUUCAUAGUUUAGCAAUUAAGCACACACACCUUCUACAAAUUAUUUCAAAAUAAAAGCACCAUCCAUAUCUUUAGCUUUAAUAGC
rnacentral:lncRNA from 1 species